AUGGACCCCGCGUCCACUGCGGUUGUGAGCGCGCCGUCAGCGCCCACCUGACAGUUGCUCGCGACGUGGUGUCAGCC
rnacentral:sRNA from 1 species